ACUGGGGUUGAAUUUGCUGUGGAGUUGCAUGAUUUUCUUGUCGAAGAUCUGGUGAAGCUAUAUCCUGCAAUUGAAGAAAACUCUCAACUCCUACUUGCGCUCCGCCUCUUCCUCCUUUUCAUCGCUCAAUAGGAGGCAGCUCAUCUGGCCGUGCAGCAGACCACGUCCUGAGCGGGUCGGUGACGGCGGUUGCAGCUGGUGCACGAUGGCGAUUCCAACGACAACAGGAAUCUGCAACUUGUUAGACUUCUUUGCAACCCCAACAAGGCCCUCAUCUGCUUUGUCUACAUAUAUGCAUGAUUUCUAUGAUUGGAAUCAGAUAGCACUAACUAUGUGUCAGACUGCUAAUAUUUAUUUGCUUGAUGAUCCUUGAAGCGCACUCUACGCUCAUACAUGAUCCCACAUAUUCUAGAUGCUUUCUUGAGGCUUUGGCUAAAAAUCUGUGGUGUACGUCACUCAUCAGGUAACUCUGACGGGCUAAUGCCUUAAGCUGGGACAUACAACAAAAUACUUAUUUUAUGGGAGGAGUUUAUGGAACUGGGUAGUGCUCAUCAGGAUGCUCUUGCAGCAAUUGACACAAUCGAUGUGGCUAAUGGAGCCAGUGAGUAACCUUGCCACCCUUCAGUAUGGUUCCUAUCUUUAGACAGUCACAUCCACGUUCGUACUUUUAGAAUAGUUGUUGCAACGGGGAAGAGCAUUUCUGCAAUAGCAAGAUAUCAGGACCCAAUGGGCAUAGGCCGAACCAACCACCAUCACUAUUGCUUCAGGAUUAGAUAGCCAACUUCCACUCAUGAGCCUGUCGAGUCAAGUUUCAGACUGAUCAUGUAUCCCCUUGAUAUUCACUGGAUGGAAUCCCCUGUCUUACUCAAACUGAACCUUCUACAAACAUCGGAAAAGCAACAGUAGUAAAGAUGGAUAGAAAUUCCAAAAAUAAGGUGUUUUUUAUGGAUGUAGCUGGUUGCGAUGAAGCUAAACAAGAAAUAAUGCUAUCACUUAUUACCUUUGUCCUUCAAAUUUGAGUAUAGGCCUGCGAAAUAAUGAAUAUUUGUGUCUCAUUGCUCCAGCAUGGUCAAUAAAGAUAUGUUGACCCAGGAAAUGUGGGUUUAUCAUAGGUCCUACUGUAUACGUUGAUAUAUGAAAUAUGACAUUUCCGGUUAUAUGCUAUCACUUAUUACCUCUGUCCUUUGCAUUGAGUAUAGGCCUGUGAAAUAAUGGUGUAUUUGUGUGUUGAUUCGUCUGUUUUCCUUCAUGUUCUGGUUCUAAGGUACCAGGACAGACCCAGAGUUAUUUGUAAAAAAGUGCUUUCCAAUGUACCAAUAUUUUGUAUCCUUUCUAAUGCUUAAAAAAGAGGCGAAUAAUUCUUUUAGAAUAUGUAAUAUCCGACAUGUGUAACGCACCUUAAGAGACUACUAAGUUAUCCUGUAUAAUUGGCACGCCCUACUUUUGUAGUAAUAAAUAUAUCAUGUGCUGCUUCAUACAGGUGAUACAUUGCAUUUACCAUAGUAUUUGAUUACAUAUGAUAACAUAAAAUCUGUUUUUUCCUUAGCGGUUCGGCACACUUAGUGC